CGGCCUUGUAAACUUACCUUCCAAAGAAUAAACUGGUACGACCUUAUUCUAAGACUCCAUUUUAUUUAUCUCUUUUGAAAGGAAAAAGGGAAGAACAUUUGUACAUUUGGGUUGCAUAUUUGCUUCUCUUUCCAGCGAGAAGGGUUCUCAUAACCUUUGACGAUGCUGAUAAAACCUUCAACAGUCGGUGACGACAGGGUCCAG
rnacentral:lncRNA from 1 species